rnacentral:pre_miRNA from 1 species
CGAUGGGUUGACAUGCGAGCCGGACCUUUGCGCCUCCGCUGAUUGAGACGCAUGUGGUCGUUGUUUGCAGGGUCUGCCCGGCA